GACACGGACCAGACUCCUACGGGAGGCAGCAGUAAGGAAUAUUGGUCAAUGGAGGGAACUCUGAACCAGCCAUGCCGCGUGCAGGAUGACUGCCCUAUGGGUUGUAAACUGCUUUUGUCCAGGAAUAACCACCACUACGUGUAGUGGCUUGAAUGUACUGGAAGAAUAAGGAUCGGCUAACUCCGUGCCAGCAGCCGCGGUAAUACGGAGGAUCCGAGCGUUAUCCGGAUUUAUUGGGUUUAAAGGGUGCGUAGGCGGCUCAUUAAGUCAGGGGUGAAAGACGGCAGCUCAACUGUCGCAGUGCCUUUGAUACUGAUGAGCUUGAAUGUGGUUGAAGAUGGCGGAAUGAGACAAGUAGCGGUGAAAUGCAUAGAUAUGUCUCAGAACUCCGAUUGCGAAGGCAGCUGUCUAAGUCAUUAUUGACGCUGAUGCACGAAAGCGUGGGGAUCGAACAGGAUUAGAUACCCUGGUAGUCCACGCCCUAAACGAUGAUAACUCGAUGUUGGCGAUACACAGUCAGCGUCUUAGCGAAAGCGUUAAGUUAUCCACCUGGGGAGUACGCCCGCAAGGGUGAAACUCAAAGGAAUUGACGGGGGCCCGCACAAGCGGAGGAGCAUGUGGUUUAAUUCGAUGAUACGCGAGGAACCUUACCCGGGCUUGAAAGUUACUGAAUUAUCUAGAGAUAGAUAAGUCCUUCGGGACAGGAAACUAGGUGCUGCAUGGCUGUCGUCAGCUCGUGCCGUGAGGUGUUGGGUUAAGUCCCGCAACGAGCGCAACCCCUAUGUUUAGUUGCCAGCAUGUAAUGAUGGGGACUCUAAACAGACUGCCAGCGUAAGCUGUGAGGAAGGUGGGGACGACGUCAAGUCAUCAUGGCCCUUACGUCCGGGGCUACACACGUGCUACAAUGGAUGGUACAGCGGGCAGCUACCUGGUAACAGGAUGCUAAUCUCGAAAAGCCAUUCACAGUUCGGAUUGAGGUCUGCAACUCGACCUCAUGAAGUUGGAUUCGCUAGUAAUCGCGUAUCAGCAAUGACGCGGUGAAUACGUUCCCGGGCCUUGUACACACCGCCCGUCAAGCCAUGAAAGCCGGGAGUGCCUAAAGUCCGUGACCGCAAGGAACGGCCUAGGGCAAGAUCGGUAAUUGGGGCUAAGUCGUAACAAGGUAGCCGUACCGGAAGGUGCGGCUG
rnacentral:rRNA from 1 species